UAAACAGUGAGACAUCUAGUUGAGUUGAUGUGGCUGCAAAGGAGGAAAAACAGGGAGACUAAGAAAAAGAAGUGAGUUUUAUGGAGCAAUUUGAAGGGGGAAAAAGGAGAGUGAAAAAUGUGAGCUAUUUCAAGAAGCAUACAAGAAAAGUUACCAAACCGAGAGGUCAAAACACAAACAAAAGGAGCAUUGAGGAGAGUCUCCCAGGAGAAGAAAGAACUCGAUGAGAUUCCCUGCUUGCAUCUUUUGGUUGGAAAGAUGAGAGGCAGGGAUGUCCAAGCAAAGAAAACCUUAAUGGUCAUGGAUGAAGGUGACACGGUCAUGGACUAGUGAUUAAUUUCUGGAGAAGAGAAAAAGACAGCAAUUGGAAGUGGGAGAAGACUUGGAUGAAUGAGAAGAAGACUUGAAUGAGAAGAGAAGGGAAAAGGAAUUGAGAGUUCAGAUGGUGACGUUUUAUCACGGGUCGAGGGAGCUGGCCGUUUCUGUCAGGUUAGCGUGGAUCCCUCUUCACAAAGCUCUCUCCAGUUCUCGCCGUGAUGGUGAAAUAGUGUCUUGCGACUCAUUGUCCGUGGACCAGCAACAGCGCCAUCACCUGGGAGCUUGUUAGAAACGCAGAAUCUCAGGACGCUCCUCAGAAUCAGCAUUUUCAUGAGACCGUUAGGUGAUUCACUUCACAUUAAAGUUUGAAAAGCACUGAAAUAAAACAGAUUUGGGAACCAGACAGCGCUGGAAAUCCAUCUCAGAGCGCACGGUCUUGGAGGAGUACAUCAGGGAAUGCUUCUCUCUCACGCAUCUUCCAGCAUGUGGCCAGACCAGCAGGGGCCAUUAUAUGGCAAGGACAUCCAUUCAAAUCAAGCUGAGAGCCUUAGUGUGACUCAAGGACUCUUGUCGGGGCCCCAGGGAAACUCAAGGAUCUGAACAACUCACUCUUCAGCAGAUUCGGACAUUGGCUCCAAUGUUGGAAGAAGGUUUUUCUAAUGGAACAAGCCCCUAUUUCUAGUGACAUUGGUUUAUCUCCUUAAACCAGUCUUUCAUCAGGAAAAAAAUAUGGUGUUUUUAAAGAGGUCGAACAUUUGCCUGUUUUGGACAUCUUAAUAUCAGGCAAUCAAAGGUCAUUUUAGUGUAAUUAUUAAGGUUUAUUUCCUCAUCCGAACAAAAACAUGGAUUUGUUAUUAAACCCAGACCAACAUUCAUUUAACCUGUCUCUUUUCCAUCUUAGUUAUCAUUUAUUUUGGAAAGAGCAAAUAUGUG
rnacentral:lncRNA from 1 species